AUUAUUUCUUUUUCCAUGUUUGGGUGGGCACUAAAUCCUCGUAAAAGGGUAUACUGAAUAGUCUGCAAUGCAUUAUAGUAACCUGUGUCUUCUGGGAAUUCUCUGUCUCCAUGAACCACUGCAGCAAUAAGAACAUCUUGAGUAGCUGAAGAGAAUCCCUGAAACAAAAAAUACACAAAGAGCGUGGACUACAGGAAACCUGUGCUGGUAAAAGUGGAAGAGUGCAAGAAAUGCUGGGUGUUGCAAGGAACCCAAACUGCAGCUUUUAAAUGUCUGUCAUGAAAAAUUUAUAGACAAGUUCACAAAGUUAAUAGGAAGAAUAAUAUGGCUUGCAGCACGUACUCUUGGAAUGGACUUAAGGAUAUGAUUGUGCUUUUCUAGUUUUGCUAAUGAAUUUAUACCACCACAAACACCUGGUAGCAUCUCUGUUUCCCUAUUUGUAAUAGAGGAAUAAGAGCUCAGCCUUCUUGCAAGCAUUCCUAAUAAA